GUAGCUUUUGCAAUCACAGCUUAGAACACCAGGUACCACAAAGGAAGUCUAAGCUAGCCAUGAAGGGGAGAUGGGAGAGGAGAGUCCCAGCCACUCCUGGCCAUCCCCACCAAAGCAUCAUACACGCAGAUGAAGUCAUCUUGGAUCUUCCAUCCUUAACCACUACCCAACUGCAACCUCAUGAGAGGCUUUUGAUGCUACAUAGAAUGGCUGGGCCUUGCUAGGAUUCCUGACCCACAGAAUCCUGAACUACUUGAUCUACUUUCCUAAAGCAUAAUGGAAGAAGCAGACUUGAAUCCAUGAGUCAGAAUACUUGACUGCUGCUGCCUGAGCUAUUCACUUAACCUUUCUAGAAAAGUCCUUUAACUUAUCUGGAUCUAAGUUUCCUCAUUUGCAAAAUGGGAACUUUGAUGCUUAUAAAGUGAAACAAUAUUUGGUGCCUCAA